rnacentral:rRNA from 1 species
GGACUACCCGGGUAUCUAAUCCUGUUUGAUCCCCACGCUUUCGCACCUCAGCGUCAAUAUCGAGCCAGUAAGCCGCCUUCGCCACUGGUGUUCCUGUGAAUAUCUACGAAUUUCACCUCUACACUCACAAUUCCACUUACCUCUCUCGAAUUCAAGACUUCCAGUAUCAAAGGCAGUUCCGAGGUUGAGCCUCGGGAUUUCACCCCUGACUUAAAAGUCCGCCUACGUGCGCUUUACGCCCAGUGAUUCCGAACAACGCUAGCCCCCUUCGUAUUACCGCGGCUGCUGGCAC